ACAGACACUCACAUUUAUUUGAUUUCACUAACCUCACCUGCCUCACCUAACACGCAUUUUUCCCCUUCAACCCACUCACACAUUCUGAUUUCUGCACCAUAUUUAUUCUCUUCCAUUCAUCUUCAUAACCAUCCAUUCCUUUCCUAAUUCUCCAAGAUGGAGUUCCAUUACUCCACCACCUUAUAAACCUUCACCUUCUAUGUCCAAUCCAUGAAUGAUCUUCUUCCCCCAUCAACUUCCCCAUUAAAACCACCAACUGAGGUAUAAACAUCUCUAUUUUCACUUAAAAGCCACAACCUACCUUGACCAAUAUCAUGGCUAGCUUCACCAUUCUCCUUCCAUUCAUGUAGUCAAUCUUCUUCUUCAGUCUUAUAAAGCUAGCUUCCCCUCAACUCUGCUUACGAUUGUAAUUUGCCGGCCAUAGUCCAUGUAUAGUAAAUAGUUGUGAGAAUUGUGCUUUGUUGUGUCACGUUUAUUUAUCAUUACAUGACUAUGUCCCGCAAACUAUACUCGUAAGCAGCCAACUAAUUGCCCACGAACAUUAUGAUAUAAGAAUAUGCUGAAGAGCGAAAGAUGUUGAUUAUGCAUAAUUUGGCAAUAAACCCUUGGAAGACUCGUGGCUGAAGUGAUUUAGUGAAGAUAUCGGCUACUUGAAGAGCAGUAGGAAUGGGCAAGAGCUUAAGCACUCCAGCUUGCAACUUCUCUCUCACAACAUGACAAUCAAUCUCUAGAUGUUUUGUCCUCUCAUGAAAGACAGGAUUGGCUGCAAUAUACAAUGCACUUUGAUUGUCACAAAAUAAAACUGGGGUCUUUGCACAAGCAAUCUGCAAGUCCUGAAGUAGAUAAAGUAACCAUUGUAGUUCACAAGUAGCAUAGGCCAAAGCUCUAUAUUCAGCUUCACUUGAGGAGCGAGAAACUGUGGUUUGCUUCUUGGCUUUCCAUGAAACUAAAGAACCACCAAGGUAAAAACAAUAUCCUGAAAUUGACCUGCGUGUAUCUGAGCAGCAUGCCCAAUUAGCAUCUGAAUACCCUUGAAUAGUGAUAGGAGUACUCCUAGGAAAGAAGAGACCUAAGCCAGGGGAUGCUUUCAAAAACCUCAGAACCCUUAAUGCUGCUGUCUUGUGAUGAGUAUCCAUGGGAUUACUCAUGAACUGACUCAGUUGUUGGGUAGCAUAUGAAAUGUCAGGUCUUGUAGUAGUAAGAUUGAGUAAUCUCCCUACUAAUCUUCUAUAUGCAGCUUCAUUUGUAUAAGGGUCACCCUGAUCAUGUGCUAAUUUAGAUCCUGGAUCCAGUGGAGUGGAAACUGGUUUGCUA